ensembl:lncRNA
UCACAAAACCACAUCGAUGACCCUCUCCUGUGCAGCCCGGAGCCUGGUUUGACUGCGGGAGGAGAAGUCCCACGCUUGGCACCGCUGUAGCACGUUGCAUUUCUCAGGACGUAGGGCAAAGCUGAGGUGCCUCUGUCCCCGCCCUCCCCGGUCUGCAAAGCCCCCGGCCCCUUCUCCCCGGGAUGGGGCUGCGGAGGAGGGCUGGCCAGGGCAGCAGCGGAGCCGGGGAAGCGGCUUUGGCUGGUGAUGUCAACCUCUAGGAGGAGCCUGUGCCUGUCCUUUUACUUUCAGGCUCCAUGUAAUUAGCAUGAGGCGGUUCGUCACUUACUAGUGUUACCCUCGGGGGCUCGACCAUGAAAUCCCCCCCUCCAGCCUCCCUAUGGACCCGAGGAACUUUUAAGGCAGGGGCUGCUGCUUCCCCUUGAUCUUCCUGCUUCCUUCCCUUCCCCCCGCCCCAUAAUCUAACCCGGGUUCAUUAAUAAUCAGUAUUAAUGUUACUAGCCGGCCUCUGCGCCGGGCAUGUGAAGCCCCCCGGCUGCAUCAUGCGAGCAACGUGCACUUUGCUGCUGCGCCAGCUUAACCUCCUGCUGCUGCUGCUGCUGCUGCUGCUGCAGCCCUCUGCGGGAUCGGGGCCCUUCGCCUCCUCCAGCGACCCCCCUCCUCGGACCCAGCUCAGCGGAGCCACCACGCCGGCCGCGGGGCCGCAGGGUUCUUCCAGCCGGGACGUCUCUGCUGCAGCUGCUGCCGCGGCGGCGGCGGCGGCUUCCCGGCUGCCUCCCUGGGAGAGGGAGAGCUCCGUGCCCUGGGCGCCGCCAGUGUCCGGCAGCACCUCGGAGCCGGCCGCGGCAGGACACACCAGCAGCCCGGUCAUUGGAAGUGGCUAUCAGACACCUAGAAGUUCAGAUAUUGAAAUGAGGACUUCCAGGUCUCCUACAGACAAUAUGGAGACACUCACUACAUUCUCCAGAAGUGGAGAGAGGACGUUGCUUUCUAUAACAAACAGUGCCAUGUCUACAACUGCAACAGAAAGCACCACCUCUUAUACAGAAAUGAUCAGUUCUGCAAAUUUAACCCAGCACUCCUCUUCUGUAGAGCAGAACAGAAGAAAUAGCUCCUCAAGUGACAUGUAUUUCACUGAGCCUGGAACGGAGACUUUGAUUGUACAUUCUUCUGAGAUACCCACCUAUUCAUCUUCACAAAGUGAUCCUCCAGCCAUUGGAAGCAGCCAGGAGACAGCUAGCAUCUGGGAUACGGAAAAAAAGACUCCUAGUUUUCAUACUGAUAGUAUGUACAUUUCACCUACAUUCAGAAGAGGUGGGGAGAGGACAACAGAGUUGCUAACAAACAGCAUUGCUUCGACUGAUUCACUGAAAAGCACCACUUCUCAUACAGAAAUUGCCAUAUCUUCAGAUCUAUCCCACUCCUCAACUUCUAUAUCAUGGACUGGAGGAAGUAAUAGAUCAUCAACUAUCGCUGCUCUCCCUGAGUCUUCAGCAGGGCCUUUACUUACAUAUUCCCCUGUAAAGAGUGGUCUCCCAGCCAUUGGAAGUAGCCAUCAGCCAAUUAGCGGCUCAGAGAAAAAUAUUGCCAGUACAUACAUUUCAACUCCAUCCACCAGAGCUGGAGCAGGGAUAUUACAAGAUCUAAUAAACAGCAGCAGAUCUUCUAAUGCAACAGGAAACUCUACUUCUGGUACUGAAAUGUCCAGCUCUUCGUAUUUAACCCAGUCGUCAUCUAUAUCUUCUAUACCACUGACCAGUAGAAUUCAUAUCUCAUUGGCUGCCACAGAUUUCAUAGAGCCUUCAACAGACCCUUUGCUUACACAGUCUCAUUCUGCUUCAGAAACUGCUUCCAAAGCCAUUGGAAGUAGCCACCAGCCAAUUAACAUCUCAGCUACAGAGAAAAGGACUUCCAAUUUGUAUACCACCAGUACAGACAUUUCAACAUCAUUCACGAGAGGUGGAGAGAGGACGUUAAGGUCUCUAAUGAACAACAGCACAUUAACUGAUGUAGCAGACAGCUCCACUUCUGACUUAGAAAAUACCAAGUCUUCAGAUUUACCCCAGCCCUCAUCUCCUGUAGCACAGGUUGGAGGAAGUAAUAUCUCAUCAAGUGACUUGACUGAGCCUUCCACAGAGUCUUUGCUUUCACAUUCUUCCAAGAUCCCAAGUUAUUCGUCUUCCACAAAUGAUCUUGCAGCUAUUGGAAGUAGCUACCAACCGAUUAACAUCUCAACUACAGAAACAAGGACUUCUGAUGUGCAUACUUCCAGUUCCUAUAUGUCAAUGACAUUCACCGUAGCUUCAGAGAGGACCUUAACGUCUCUAACAAACAGCAGCACAUUGGCUGAUGCAGCAGAAAGCUCCACUUCUAAUUUAGGAAAUAUCAGGUCUUCGNACAUCGGCUGAUGCAGCAGAAAGCUCCACUUCUAACUUAGGAAAUAUCAGGUCUUCGGAUUUACCCCAGCCCUCAUCUGCUGUAGCACAGGUUGGAGGAAAUAAUAUCUCAUCUCNGGAUUUACCCCAGCCCUCAUCUGCUUUAGCACAAGCUGGAGGAAAUAAUAUCUCAUCUAGUGACUUCACGGAGCCUUCCACGGAGCUUUUGCUUACGCAUUCUUCCAAGAUCCCAAGUUAUUCGUCUUCCCCAAAUGAUCUUGCAGGUGAGUUUUGUGAUUCCUCAGCUGGUUAGUGCACAGUUCAAAAAAAUGGUAAAAGAGCCUCCUCCUCACCAAA